GAUGAAGAACGCAGCGAAAUGCGAUACGUAAUGUGAAUUGCAGAAUUCAGUGAAUCAUCGAAUCUUUGAACGCAUAUUGCGCUCUUUGGUAUUCCGAAGAGCAUGCUUGUUUGAGUAUCAGUAAACACCUCGAAGCUUUUGGAUUUUUUAAUCGAAAAGCUUUGGACUUGAGCAAUCCCAACACCAAUCUUUUUGAGAUCGGUGGCGGGUUGCUUGAAAUGCAGGUGCAGCUGGACAUUCUCCUGAGCUAAAAGCAUAUUCAUUUAGUCCCGUCAAACGGAUUAUUACUUUUGCUGCAGCUAACAUAAAGGGAGUUUGACCGUAUUGGCUGACUGAUGCAGGAUUUCACAAGGGUCGGCAACGAUUCUUGUUAAACUCGAUCUCAAAUCAAGUAAGACUACCCGCUGAACUUAAGCAUAUCAAUAAGCGGAGGA
rnacentral:misc_RNA from 1 species